rnacentral:rRNA from 1 species
GAUGAACGCUGGCGGCGUGCUUAACACAUGCAAGUCGAACGGAAAGGCCCAAGCUUGCUUGGGUACUCGAGUGGCGAACGGGUGAGUAACACGUGGGUGAUCUGCCCUUCACUUCGGGAUAAGCCUGGGAAACUGGGUCUAAUACCGGAUAGGACCUCAUUUUGGAUGGUGUGGUGGAAAGUUUUUCGGUGUGGGAUGAGCUCGUGGCCUAUCAGCUUGUUGGUGGGGUAAUGGCCUACCAAGGCGUCGACGGGUAGCCGGCCUGAGAGGGUGUACGGCCACAUUGGGACUGAGAUACGGACCAGACUCCUACGGGAGGCAGCAGUGGGGAAUAUUGCACAAUGGGCGCAAGCCUGAUGCAGCGACGCCGCGUGCGGGAUGACGGCCUUCGGGUUGUAAACACCUUUCGCUAGGGACGAAGCGCAAGUGACGGUACCUGGAGAAGAAGCACCGGCUAACUACGUG